rnacentral:rRNA from 1 species
GGUUAAGCGACUAAGCGUACACGGUGGAUGCCCUGGCAGUCAGAGGCGAUGAAGGACGUGCUAAUCUGCGAUAAGCGUCGGUAAGGUGAUAUGAACCGUUAUAACCGGCGAUUUCCGAAUGGGGAAACCCAGUGUGAUUCGUCACACUAUCAUUAACUGAAUCCAUAGGUUAAUGAGGCGAACCGGGGGAACUGAAACAUCUAAGUACCCCGAGGAAAAGAAAUCAACCGAGAUUCCCCCAGUAGCGGCGAGCGAACGGGGAGCAGCCCAGAGCCUGAAUCAGUGUGUGUGUUAGUGGAAGCGUCUGGAAAGGCGCGCGAUACAGGGUGACAGCCCCGUACACAAAAAUGCACAUACUGUGAGCUCGAUGAGUAGGGCGGGACACGUGGUAUCCUGUCUGAAUAUGGGGGGACCAUCCUCCAAGGCUAAAUACUCCUGACUGACCGAUAGUGAACCAGUACCGUGAGGGAAAGGCGAAAAGAACCCCGGCGAGGGGAGUGAAAAAGAACCUGAAACCGUGUACGUACAAGCAGUGGGAGCACAGAGCAAUCUGUGUGACUGCGUACCUUUUGUAUAAUGGGUCAGCGACUUAUAUUCUGUAGCAAGGUUAACCGAAUAGGGGAGCCGAAGGGAAACCGAGUCUUAACUGGGCGUUAAGUUGCAGGGUAUAGACCCGAAACCCGGUGAUCUAGCCAUGGGCAGGUUGAAGGUUGGGUAACACUAACUGGAGGACCGAACCGACUAAUGUUGAAAAAUUAGCGGAUGACUUGUGGCUGGGGGUGAAAGGCCAAUCAAACCGGGAGAUAGCUGGUUCUCCCCGAAAGCUAUUUAGGUAGCGCCUCGUGAAUUCAUCUCCGGGGGUAGAGCACUGUUUCGGCAAGGGGGUCAUCCCGACUUACCAACCCGAUGCAAACUGCGAAUACCGGAGAAUGUUAUCACGGGAGACACACGGCGGGUGCUAACGUCCGUCGUGAAGAGGGAAACAACCCAGACCGCCAGCUAAGGUCCCAAAGUCAUGGUUAAGUGGGAAACGAUGUGGGAAGGCCCAGACAGCCAGGAUGUUGGCUUAGAAGCAGCCAUCAUUUAAAGAAAGCGUAAUAGCUCACUGGUCGAGUCGGCCUGCGCGGAAGAUGUAACGGGGCUAAACCAUGCACCGAAGCUGCGGCAGCGACGCUGAUGCGUUGUUGGGUAGGGGAGCGUUCUGUAAGCCUGCGAAGGUGUGCUGUGAGGCAUGCUGGAGGUAUCAGAAGUGCGAAUGCUGACAUAAGUAACGAUAAAGCGGGUGAAAAGCCCGCUCGCCGGAAGACCAAGGGUUCCUGUCCAACGUUAAUCGGGGCAGGGUGAGUCGACCCCUAAGGCGAGGCCGAAAGGCGUAGUCGAUGGGAAACAGGUUAAUAUUCCUGUACUUGGUGUUACUGCGAAGGGGGGACGGAGAAGGCUAUGUUGGCCGGGCGACGGUUGUCCCGGUUUAAGCGUGUAGGCUGGUUUUCCAGGCAAAUCCGGAAAAUCAAGGCUGAGGCGUGAUGACGAGGCACUACGGUGCUGAAGCAACAAAUGCCCUGCUUCCAGGAAAAGCCUCUAAGCAUCAGGUAACAUCAAAUCGUACCCCAAACCGACACAGGUGGUCAGGUAGAGAAUACCAAGGCGCUUGAGAGAACUCGGGUGAAGGAACUAGGCAAAAUGGUGCCGUAACUUCGGGAGAAGGCACGCUGAUAUGUAGGUGAAGUCCCUCGCGGAUGGAGCUGAAAUCAGUCGAAGAUACCAGCUGGCUGCAACUGUUUAUUAAAAACACAGCACUGUGCAAACACGAAAGUGGACGUAUACGGUGUGACGCCUGCCCGGUGCCGGAAGGUUAAUUGAUGGGGUCAGCGCAAGCGAAGCUCUUGAUCGAAGCCCCGGUAAACGGCGGCCGUAACUAUAACGGUCCUAAGGUAGCGAAAUUCCUUGUCGGGUAAGUUCCGACCUGCACGAAUGGCGUAAUGAUGGCCAGGCUGUCUCCACCCGAGACUCAGUGAAAUUGAACUCGCUGUGAAGAUGCAGUGUACCCGCGGCAAGACGGAAAGACCCCGUGAACCUUUACUAUAGCUUGACACUGAACAUUGAGCCUUGAUGUGUAGGAUAGGUGGGAGGCUUUGAAGUGUGGACGCCAGUCUGCAUGGAGCCGACCUUGAAAUACCACCCUUUAAUGUUUGAUGUUCUAACGUUGACCCGUAAUCCGGGUUGCGGACAGUGUCUGGUGGGUAGUUUGACUGGGGCGGUCUCCUCCUAAAGAGUAACGGAGGAGCACGAAGGUUGGCUAAUCCUGGUCGGACAUCAGGAGGUUAGUGCAAUGGCAUAAGCCAGCUUGACUGCGAGCGUGACGGCGCGAGCAGGUGCGAAAGCAGGUCAUAGUGAUCCGGUGGUUCUGAAUGGAAGGGCCAUCGCUCAACGGAUAAAAGGUACUCCGGGGAUAACAGGCUGAUACCGCCCAAGAGUUCAUAUCGACGGCGGUGUUUGGCACCUCGAUGUCGGCUCAUCACAUCCUGGGGCUGAAGUAGGUCCCAAGGGUAUGGCUGUUCGCCAUUUAAAGUGGUACGCGAGCUGGGUUUAGAACGUCGUGAGACAGUUCGGUCCCUAUCUGCCGUGGGCGCUGGAGAACUGAGGGGGGCUGCUCCUAGUACGAGAGGACCGGAGUGGACGCAUCACUGGUGUUCGGGUUGUCAUGCCAAUGGCACUGCCCGGUAGCUAAAUGCGGAAGAGAUAAGUGCUGAAAGCAUCUAAGCACGAAACUUGCCCCGAGAUGAGUUCUCCCUGACUCCUUGAGAGUCCUGAAGGAACGUUGAAGACGACGACGUUGAUAGGCCGGAUGUGUAAGCGCAGCGAUGCGUUGAGCUAACCGGUACUAAUGAACCGUGAGGCUUAACCUU